GGUAAAAUGGCUGAGGAAAAGCAAUAAACUGUAAAUUUAUGAACGAAAUAAUAAUUUCUUUUACCA
rnacentral:tRNA from 1 species